UGGGGAAUCUUGCACAAUGGGCGAAAGCCUGAUGCAGCAACGCCGCGUGCGGGAAGAAGGCCCUCGGGUUGUAAACCGCUUUCAGAAGGAACGAAACUGACGGUACUUUCAGAAGAAGGUGCGGCCAACUACGUGCCAGCAGCCGCGGUGACACGUAGGCACCAAGCGUUGUCCGGAUUUAUUGGGCGUAAAGAGCUCGUAGGCGGUUCAGUAAGUCGGGUGUGAAAACUUUGGGCUUAACCCAAAGCGUGCAUCCGAUACUGCUGUGACUUGAGUACGGUAGGGGAGCGGGGAAUUCCUAGUGUAGCGGUGAAAUGCGCAGAUAUUAGGAGGAACACCGGUGGCGAAGGCGCCGCUCUGGGCCGAAACUGACGCUGAGGAGCGAAAGCAUGGGUAGCAAACAGGAUUAGAUACCCCAGUAGUCCCUGAGCGGGCUGGCAAGGCGCAU
rnacentral:rRNA from 1 species